rnacentral:rRNA from 1 species
AAAGACCUUAUGCUUUUGGAGCGGCCGAUGUCUGAUUAGCUAGUUGGUAAGGUAAAGGCUUACCAAGGCGACGAUCAGUAGUUGGUCUGAGAGGACGACCAGCCACACUGGGACUGAGACACGGCCCAGACUCCUACGGGAGGCAGCAGUGGGGAAUUUUGGACAAUGGGCGAAAGCCUGAUCCAGCAAUGCCGCGUGAGUGAAGAAGGCCUUCGGGUUGUAAAGCUCUUUCAGUCGAGAAGAAAAGAUUGUGACCAAUAAUCAUAAUUUAUGACGGUAUCGACAGAAGAAGCACCGGCUAACUACGUGCCAGCAGCCGCGGUAAUACGUAGGGUGCGAGCGUUAAUCGGAAUUACUGGGCGUAAAGGGUGCGCAGGCGGUUCUGCAAGUCAGAUGUGAAAUCCCCGGGCUUAACCUGGGAACU